GCAGACACAUUCCAGCCAAUCAGCAGCAGACCCUCCCUCCCAGACCCUCCCACCUCCUGGACAGCAUUCAUUUUACAAUCAUUGUGAAGCUGCAUUCUUAGUGAGCUGUCCAGGAGGUGGGAGGGUCUGGGAGGGAGGGUCUGCUGCUGAUUGGCUGGAAUGUGUCUG